GACGAACGCUGGCGGCGUGCCUAAUACAUGCAAGUUGAGCGCUGAAGGUUGGUACUUGUACCAACUGGAUGAGCAGCGAACGGGUGAGUAACGCGUGGGGAAUCUGCCUUUGAGCGGGGGACAACAUUUGGAAACGAAUGCUAAUACCGCAUAAAAACUUUAAACACAAGUUUUAAGUUUGAAAGAUGCAAUUGCAUCACUCAAAGAUGAUCCCGCGUUGUAUUAGCUAGUUGGUGAGGUAAAGGCUCACCAAGGCGAUGAUACAUAGCCGACAUGAGAGGGUGGUCGGCCGCACUGAGACUGAGACACGGCACAAACGCCCACAGGUGGCAGCAGUAGGGAAACUUCGGCAAUGGGCGAAAGUCAGACCGAGCUGCGCGGAGGCAGUGAAGAGGGUUUUCGGGUCGUAAAUCACUGUUUGUAGAGUAGAACGUGGGUGAGAGUGGAAAGCUCCUCAAGUGACGGUAACUGCCAAGAAAGGAACGGCUAACUACGUG
rnacentral:rRNA from 1 species